rnacentral:rRNA from 1 species
GAUGAACGCUGGCGGCGUGCCUAAUACAUGCAAGUCGAGCGAACGGACGAGAAGCUUGCUUCUCUGAUGUUAGCGGCGGACGGGUGAGUAACACGUGGAUAACCAACCUAUAAGACUGGGAUAACUUCGGGAAACCGUAGCUAAUACCGGAUAAUAUUUUGAACCGCAUGGUUCAAAAGUGAAAGACGGUCUUGCUGUCACUUAUAGAUGGAUCCGCGCUGCAUUAGCUAGUUGGUAAGGUAACGGCUUACCAAGGCAACGAUGCAUAGCCGACCUGAGAGGGUGAUCGGCCACACUGGAACUGAGACACGGUCCAGACUCCUACGGGAGGCAGCAGUAGGGAAUCUUCCGCAAAGGGCGAAAGCCUGACGGAGCAACGCCGCGUGAGUGAUGAAGGUCUUCGGAUCGUAAAACUCUGUUAUUAGGGAAGAACAUAUGUGUAAGUAACUGUGCACAUCUUGACGGUACCUAAUCAGAAAGCCACGGCUAACUACGUG